CAGUCGCCACGGUAAUACGGAGGGGGCUAGCGUUGUUCGGAAUUACUGGGCGUAAAGCGCGCGUAGGCGGCUUUGUAAGUUAGAGGUGAAAGCCCGGAGCUCAACCUGGGAAUUGCGAUGGAUACUGGGCGACUAGAGUGCGGUAGAGGAUAGUGGAAUUUCCGGUGUAGCAGUGAAAUGCGUAGAGAUCGGAGGGAACAUCUGUGGCGAAGGCGACUAUCUGGGCCAACACUGACACUGAGACACGAAAGCGUGGGGAGCAAACAGGAUUAGAGACCCCUGUAGUCCCUGUCUCUUAUAC
rnacentral:rRNA from 1 species